rnacentral:rRNA from 1 species
GACGAACGCUGGCGGCGUGCUUAACACAUGCAAGUCGAACGGAAAGGCCCUGCUUUUGUGGGGUGCUCGAGUGGCGAACGGGUGAGUAACACGUGAGUAACCUGCCCUUGACUUUGGGAUAACUUCAGGAAACUGGGGCUAAUACCGGAUAGGAGCUCCUGCUGCAUGGUGGGGGUUGGAAAGUUUCGGCGGUUGGGGAUGGACUCGCGGCUUAUCAGCUUGUUGGUGGGGUAGUGGCUUACCAAGGCUUUGACGGGUAGCCGGCCUGAGAGGGUGACCGGCCACAUGGGGACGGGGAUACGGCCAAGACUCUUACGGGGGGCAGCGGUGGGGAAUAUGGCAAAAUGGGCGGAAGCCUGAUGCAGCAACGCCGGGUGGGGGAGGACGGCCUUCGGGUGGUAAACCGCUUUCGCCUGUGACGAAGCGUGAGGGACGGUAAUGGGUAAAGAAGCACCGGCGAACUACGU